rnacentral:rRNA from 1 species
UACGUAGUGGGCAAGCGUUGUCCGGAAUCAUUGGGCGUAAAGAGCGUGUAGGCGGCCCGGUAAGUCCGCUGUGAAAGUCCAGGGCUCAACCCUGGGAUGCCGGUGGAUACUGUCGGGCUCGAGUCCGGAAGAGGAGUGUGGAAUUCCUGGUGUAGCGGUGAAAUGCGCAGAUAUCAGGAGGAACACCAAUGGCGAAGGCAGCACUCUGGGACGUGACUGACGCUGAGACGCGAAAGCGUGGGGAGCAAACAGG